GAAAGAUUUAUCGCCGAAAGAUCGGCCCGCGUCUGAUUAGCUAGUUGGCAGGGUAACGGCUCACCAAGGCGACGAUCUUUAGGGGGCCUGAGAGGGUGAUCCCCCACACUGGUACUGAGACACGGACCAGACUCCUACGGGAGGCAGCAGUGAGGAAUAUUGGACAAUGGGUGGAAGCCUGAUCCAGCCAUCCCGCGUGCAGGAAGACGGCCCUAUGGGUUGUAAACUGCUUUUAUCUGGGGAUAAACCUACUUACGCGUAAGUAGCUGAAGGUACCAGAAGAAUAAGCACCGGCUAACUCCGUGCCAGCAGCCGCGGUAAUACGGAGGGUGCAAGCGUUAUCCGGAUUUAUUGGGCUUAAAGGGUCCGUAGGCGGACCGGUAAGUCAGUGGUGAAAUCCGACAGCUUAACUGUCGAACUGCCAUUGAUACUGUCGGUCUUGAGUAAGGUUGAAGUGGCCGGAAUAAGUAGUGUAGCGGUGAAAUGCAUAGAUAUUACUUAGAACACCGAUUGCGAAGGCAGGUCACUAAGUCUUAACUGACGCUGAUGGACGAAAGCGUGGGUAGCGAACAGGAUUAGAUACCCUGGUAGUCCACGCCGUAAACGAUGAUUACUCGUUUUUGGGCCUUCGGGUUCAGAGACUAAGCGAAAGUGAUAAGU
rnacentral:rRNA from 1 species